UAAAUGUCCAACACCUAAGGCAACGCCUGCACAUAGUAGAACUUCCAUAAAUGUUAAGUGGCUGCAUAAACUAUUUCUGUUUAUUGAGAUACCUACAAGAAUGUUCAUUUUCUCCUUGGUCCUGUUUGAACUUCAGAAAGCAGUCUGGUUGUGAUUGA
rnacentral:lncRNA from 1 species